GACGAACGCUGGCGGCGUGCUUAACACAUGCAAGUCGAACGGUAAGGCCCUUCGGGGUACACGAGUGGCGAACGGGUGAGUAACACGUGGGUGAUCUACCCUGCACUUCGGGAUAAGCCGGGGAAACUGGGUCUAAUACCGGAUAGCACCUCUCCCUGCAUGGGGGGUGGUGGAAAGCUUUUGCGGUGUGGGAUGGGCCCGCGGCCUAUCAGCUUGUUGGUGGGGUGAUGGCCUACCAAGGCGACGACGGGUAGCCGGCCUGAGAGGGUGACCGGCCACACUGGGACUGAGAUACGGCCCAGACUCCUACGGGAGGCAGCAGUGGGGAAUAUUGCACAAUGGGCGCAAGCCUGAUGCAGCGACGCCGCGUGAGGGAUGACGGCCUUCGGGUUGUAAACCUCUUUCAGCACCGACGAAGCGCAAGUGACGGUAGGUGCAGAAGAAGGACCGGCCAACUACGUGCCAGCCGCCGCCGUAA
rnacentral:rRNA from 1 species